AAUAAAGUGCCUGAUCAAAGGGUUGCUUUGAUAGAGCAAAUCACGUGAAACCACCUUUAUUA
rnacentral:tRNA from 1 species